AACGUAGGACGCAAGCGUUGUCCGGAUUUAUUGGGCGUAAAGAGCGUGUAGGCGGCCAGGUAGGUCUGCUGUGAAAACUCGAGGCUCAACCUCGAGACGUCGGCGGAAACCAUCUGGCUAGAGUCCGGAAGAGGAGAGUGGAAUUCCUGGUGUAGCGGUGAAAUGCGCAGAUAUCAGGAAGAACACCCGUGGCGAAGGCGGCUCUCUGGGACGGUACUGACGCUGAGACGCGAAAGCGUGGGGAGCGAACAGG
rnacentral:rRNA from 1 species